rnacentral:lncRNA from 1 species
GUCGAAUAAUCUCUUGUUGUAGGCUAUGAAUUUCGCGUCUAGCUUCUUUGGUCACUAGAUCAAUUUGAGGUUCUUUACUUGGAUUGCGAAGAAAUGCAAUCUCUUUUUGUACACUAUUCAUAAGAGCUUGAAGAUCUGCAAGAGUUGCCACUCUAUUGUCUACUUGUGGAGAUGCACUGUCUAUGACCUGGUCUACUUCCAUAUUUAGAGAAUA